UGGGGAAUAUUGCACAAUGGGCGAAAGCCUGAUGCAGCGACGCCGCGUGAGUGAAGAAGUAUUUCGGUAUGUAAAGCUCUAUCAGCAGGGAAGAAAAUGACGGUACCUGACUAAGAAGCCCCGGCUAACUACGUGCCAGCAGCCGCGGUAAUACGUAGGGGGCAAGCGUUAUCCGGAUUUACUGGGUGUAAAGGGAGCGUAGACGGCGAAGCAAGUCUGAAGUGAAAACCCAGGGCUCAACCCUGGGACUGCUUUGGAAACUGUUUUGCUAGAGUGUCGGAGAGGUAAGUGGAAUUCCUAGUGUAGCGGUGAAAUGCGUAGAUAUUAGGAGGGACACCAGUGGCGAAGGCGGCUUACUGGACGAUAACUGACGUUGAGGCUCGAAAGCGUGGGGAGCAAACAGG
rnacentral:rRNA from 1 species